rnacentral:rRNA from 1 species
AGAGUUUGAUCAUGGCUCAGGAUGAACGCUGGCGGCGUGCCUAAUACAUGCAAGUCGAGCGAACUGAUUAGAAGCUUGCUUCUAUGACGUUAGCGGCGGACGGGUGAGUAACACGUGGGCAACCUGCCUGUAAGACUGGGAUAACUUCGGGAAACCGAAGCUAAUACCGGAUAGGAUCUUCUCCUUCAUGGGAGAUGAUUGAAAGAUGGUUUCGGCUAUCACUUACAGAUGGGCCCGCGGUGCAUUAGCUAGUUGGUGAGGUAACGGCUCACCAAGGCAACGAUGCAUAGCCGACCUGAGAGGGUAAUCGGCCACAUUGGGACUGAGACACGGCCCAGACUCCUAUGGGAGGCAGCAGUAGGGAAUCUUCCGCAAUGGACGAAAGUCUGACGGAGCAACGCCGCGUGAGUGAUGAAGGCUUUCGGGUCGUAAAACUCUGUUGUUAGGGAAGAACAAGUACGAGAGUAACUGCUCGUACCUUGACGGUACCUAACCAGAAAGCCACGGCUAACUUCGUGCCAGCAGCCGCGGUAAUACGUAGGUGGCAAGCGUUAUCCGGAAUUAUUGGGCGUAAAGCGCGCGCAGGC